GGGCGAAAGUCUGAUGGAGCAACGCCGCGUGAGCGAUGAAGGCCUUCGGGUCGUAAAGCUCUGUUGUUAGGGAAGAACAAGUACCGGAGUAACUGCCGGUACCUUGACGGUACCUAACCAGAAAGCCACGGCUAACUACGUGCCAGCAGCCGCGGUAAUACGUAGGUGGCAAGCGUUGUCCGGAAUUAUUGGGCGUAAAGCGCGCGCAGGCGGUCCUUUAAGUCUGAUGUGAAAGCCCACGGCUCAACCGUGGAGGGUCAUUGGAAACUGGGGGACUUGAGUGCAGAAGAGGAAAGCGGAAUUCCACGUGUAGCGGUGAAAUGCGUAGAGAUGUGGAGGAACACCAGUGGCGAAGGCGGCUUUCUGGUCUGUAACUGACGCUGAGGCGCGAAAGCGUGGGGAGCAAACAGGAUUAGAUACCCUGGUAGUCCACGCCGUAAACGAUGAGUGCUAAGUGUUAGAGGGUUUCCGCCCUUUAGUGCUGCAGCUAACGCAUUAAGCACUCCGCCUGGGGAGUACGGCCGCAAGGCUG
rnacentral:rRNA from 1 species